rnacentral:rRNA from 1 species
UCAGAGGAAUUUGUCUAUUUAUCGUCAUUACUCGUUUAUUUUUACUUUUUUUUGUUUUCUAUACCGCCGUCUUAAGAUAAAACUAUAAAUUUUUAUCUCAAGCUCUUUUGAUAAGUCAGGUCAAGGUGGAGAUCAUAAGAAAGUUUAGAUUAAUUAUCCAUAAAUACUAUUUAAAGUCAGUUUUCCAAAGUGAACUAAAAUAAAGAUUUGAAAGUAAUCUUCAAUUAAAAUUUUAAGACGAAUUUGUCUUAGGUGUACAUAUCGCCCGUCACCCUCGUCUAAAGAUGAGGUAAGUCGUAACAUAGUUAGUGUACUGGAAAGUGCACUAAGGGAGAAUUAAAAGCUUUAGCGUUUCACUUACACAGAAAAGAAUGUUUGUUCAAUUUUUAUAAACUUUUUGUGGUUAAAUCAAUAUACAUUUUCUUUAACUUUUCCCUUUAUUUUUGUCACCGUAAGGGAGUUUUAGAUCGAUUCUAAGAAACUUUUUAAUUUACCUUUUGUAUCAGGGUGGGUCAAACUUUUCCUUGAUAAAGUUUAUCCCGAAAUAAAAUGAGCUACUUAAUUUUUUAUAUUUUAUAGCAAAAAAAUAGUAAAAAUUUAGUAGGAGUGAAAUUCCAUCCGUAUUUUCUUAUAUCUGGUUUUUUCAAAAAGUAUUAUUACUAAAACCUAAAAAGGGAUAAUCUUUUUUAAAUAUUUAUUUUUGUUUUUAUUCAACCGUUUAGGAUUAGAAGUGUCUUUUUGUGUAAAAACUUUUCUUCUUAUAUUACAUAAAUAUUAUUAUGAAAUUUUGUUCCUUUUAUAGGAACUAUGAUUCAAUCAGUAAAGAUUUGAUUCUUCUUCCCCUUUUAAAUCUUUUAAAAACAAUUUCUUUAACUUGUUUUCAUUAACUUGGCUAAGUUUUCUGACUGUUUACCAAAAACAUUUCUGAAUGACUAUUUUUUUCAGUAAGACCUGCUCAAUGAUAUUUUUAAUAGCCGCAAUUUACGUGCUAAGGUAGCAUAAUCACUUGCCUUAUAAUUUAAGGCUAGAAUGAAAGGUUUAACAUGAUAACUUCUUUGUAAAUUUAACUUCUAGAAUUUUACUUAUAAGUAAAAAGGCUUAUAUUUGUAAGGGGGACGACAAGACCCUACCGAGCUUUACUUCUUUAGUUGAACUGGGGUGGUAAAAAACUAAAUCUUUUCUUUCUAUUUCUUUUCAUCCUUUAAAAAAGAUCCUCAAGUUACCGUAGGGAUAACAGCAUAAUUUUUUUCUAGAGACCUUAUCUAAAAAAAAGAUUGUGACCUCGAUGUUGAAUUAAUU